GACGAACGCUGGCGGCGUGCUUAACACAUGCAAGUCGAACGGAAAGGCCCUGCUUGCAGGGUACUCGAGUGGCGAACGGGUGAGUAACACGUGGGUUAUCUGCCCUUCACUUCUGGAUAAGCCUGGGAAACUGGGUCUAAUACUGGAUAGGAGCCAUUCUUAGGGUGUUUGUUGGAAAGUUUUUUCGGUGUAGGAUGAGCUCGCGGCCUAUCAGCUUGUUGGUGGGGUAAUGGCCUACCAAGGCGGCGACGGGUAGCCGGCCUGAGAGGGUGGACGGCCACAGUGGGACUGAGAUACGGCCCAGACUCCUACGGGAGGCAGCAGUGGGGAAUAUUGCACAAUGGGCGCAAGCCUGAUGCAGCGACGCCGCGUGGGGGAGGACGGCCUUCGGGUUGUAAACUCCUUUCGCUAGGGACGAAGCUUUUUGUGACGGUACCUAGAUAAGAAGCACCGGCUAACUACGUG
rnacentral:rRNA from 1 species